rnacentral:rRNA from 1 species
UACGUAGGGGGCGAGCGUUGUCCGGAGUUACUGGGCGUAAAGGGCACGCAGGCGGUUGUGUCAGUUUGCGGGGACAGUGGGCGGCUUAACUGCCCAAGGGUCGCAAAGACGGCACGACUGGAGAGCGAGAGAGGGACCUGGAACUCCGGGUGGAGCGGUGAAAUGCGUAGAGAUCCGGAAGAACACCACUGGCGAAGGCAAGGUCCUGGCUCGUAUCUGACGCUGAGGUGCGAAAGCUAGGGGAGCGAACGGG